UAAAUGUUUUUUUUUAGGUUU
rnacentral:piRNA from 1 species